UGAACGCUAGCUACAGGCUUACACAGCAAAGUCGAGGGGCAGCAUGGUCUUAGCUUGCUAAGGCCGAUGGCGACCGGCGCACGGGUGAGUAACACGUAUCCAACCUGCCGUCUACUCUUGGACAGCCUUCUGAAAGGAAGAUUAAUACAAGAUGGCAUCAUGAGUCCGCAUGUUCACAUGAUUAAAGGUAUUCCGGUAGACGAUGGGGAUGCGUUCCAUUAGAUAGUAGGCGGGGUAACGGCCCACCUAGUCUUCGAUGGAUAGGGGUUCUGAGAGGAAGGUCCCCCACAUUGGAACUGAGACACGGUCCAAACUCCUACGGGAGGCAGCAGUGAGGAAUAUUGGUCAAUGGGCGAGAGUCUGAACCAGCCAAGUAGCGUGAAGGAUGACUGCCCUAUGGGUUGUAAACUUCUUUUAUAAAGGAAUAAAGUCGGGUAUGCAUACCCGUUUGCAUGUACUUUAUGAAUAAGGAUCGGCUAACUCCGUGCCAGCAGCCGCGGUAAUACGGAGGAUCCGAGCGUUAUCCGGAUUUAUUGGGUUUAAAGGGAGCGUAGAUGGAUGUUUAAGUCAGUUGUGAAAGUUUGCGGCUCAACCGUAAAAUUGCAGUUGAUACUGGAUAUCUUGAGUGCAGUUGAGGCAGGCGGAAUUCGUGGUGUAGCGGUGAAAUGCUUAGAUAUCACGAAGAACUCCGAUUGCGAAGGCAGCCUGCUAAGCUG
rnacentral:rRNA from 1 species